rnacentral:rRNA from 1 species
AUUGAACGCUGGCGGCAUGCCUUACACAUGCAAGUCGAACGGUAACAGGUCUUCGGAUGCUGACGAGUGGCGAACGGGUGAGUAAAGCAUCGGAACGUGCCCAGUCGUGGGGGAUAACUGCUCGAAAAAGCAGCUAAUACCGCAUACGACCUAAGGGUGAAAGCGGGGGACCUUCGGGCCUCGCGCGAUUGGAGCGGCCGAUGUCAGAUUAGAUAGUUGGUGGGGUAAAGGCUUACCAAGUCGACGAUCUGUAGCUGGUCUGAGAGGACGACCAGCCACACUGGGACUGAGACACGGCCCAGACUCCUACGGGAGGCAGCAGUGGGGAAUUUUGGACAAUGGGCGAAAGCCUGAUCCAGCAAUGCCGCGUGCAGGAAGAAGGCCUUCGGGUUGUAAACUGCUUUUGUUCGGGAAGAAACACUCCUACGUGUAGGAGCUUGACGGUACCGUAAGAAUAAGGAUCGGCUAACUCCGUGCCAGCAGCCGCAGUAACAC